rnacentral:rRNA from 1 species
GUGGGGAAUCUUAGACAAUGGGCGCAAGCCUGAUCUAGCCAUGCCGCGUGAGCGAUGAAGGCCUUAGGGUUGUAAAGCUCUUUCAGGGGGGAAGAUAAUGACGGUACCCCCAGAAGAAGCCCCGGCUAACUCCGUGCCAGCAGCCGCGGUAAUAUGGUGGGGGCUAGCGUUGUUCGGAAUUACUGGGCGUAAAGCGCACGUAGGCGGACCAGAAAGUCAGGGGUGAAAUCCCGGGGCUCAACCCCGGAACUGCCUUUGAAACUCCUGGUCUUGAGGUCGAGAGGGGUGAGUGGAAUUCCGAGUGUAGAGGUGAAAUUCGUAGAUAUUCGGAGGAACACCAGUGGCGAAGGCGGCUCACUGGCUCGAUACUGACGCUGAGGUGCGAAAGCGUGGGGAGCAAACAGGAUUAGAAACCCGGGUAGUCC